UGGGGAAUUUUGGACAAUGGGCGCAAGCCUGAUCCAGCCAUGCCGCGUGCGGGAAGAAGGCCUUCGGGUUGUAAACCGCUUUUGUCAGGGAAGAAAUCUUCUGAGUUAAUACCUCGGGAGGAUGACGGUACCUGAAGAAUAAGCACCGGCUAACUACGUGCCAGCAGCCGCGGUAAUACGUAGGGUGCAAGCGUUAAUCGGAAUUACUGGGCGUAAAGCGUGCGCAGGCGGUUUUGUAAGACAGAGGUGAAAUCCCCGGGCUCAACCUGGGAACUGCCUUUGUGACUGCAAGGCUUGAGUGCGGCAGAGGGGGAUGGAAUUCCGCGUGUAGCAGUGAAAUGCGUAGAUAUGCGGAGGAACACCGAUGGCGAAGGCAAUCCCCUGGGCCUGCACUGACGCUCAUGCACGAAAGCGUGGGGAGCAAACAGGAUUAGAUAGCCCUGGUAGUCCACGCCCUAAACGAUGUCAACUGGUUGUUGGGAAGGUUCCUUCUCAGUAACGUAGCUAACGCNUGAAGUUGACCGCCUGGGGAGUACGGCCGCAAGGUUGAAGC
rnacentral:rRNA from 1 species